CCCAAAGUGCAGUCACGCACAGCCCAGGUCACGCACGCACGCUACUUUGCCCUCACUCGCACUCUCUCGAUCGAUCCCCACCUCUCGCACACGACACCCAGCACGCCUCCGCGAUGCGGCCGCCGCCUGUCGUCGCUCCGGUUAUCGCCGGCCGUCUCCGACGCCGCCGUCAGUCGGCGAAGCUCCUCCACCGAACCCCCUACCAACGCCCCACCGUUUCGACCUCGAGCACAACGCCAUGGCUAACCCUAGCCCGUGGGUCUGGUGCGGUUGCCGGCGCUGCUCCGCCACGCCAACGCCUUCCGGCUCCUCCCCUCCAGCGACCACGCCUCCUCUUCGAUCUCGAGCCCUAGCUCGAGCUCCUGGUAGUGUGAUGUUUCCCCCAAUUUGAUUCUCCUUGGGGAACCCAUGUGCUGCCUCACCUGACCGUGUCGCUCUUUGACGGGCUCUCUCUGGUUUUCCUUCGUCUCGUCUUCAACACCCUCGACACCGGUGGGAAUGGCAACGGCUGCAACCAUGAUGUCCCUGUUUUUCCCCAUUUGGUAAUACUGCUAUGGUGCUCGUGGUGAUGUACUGAUGCGGUGGUGGUUUCGUGGUGGUGGUGUUGCUCCUGAUGUGGUGCUGCUGCGACAACGUCGUUGUGCCGCGUGCUGCAGCCUUGACGCCGGCGGGACGGUGCCACGGACGACGUCGACUACAUCGCCUACUCUACUCCCUAAGUAUUUCACUUUCUUGAUGAACUGAUUGAUGAGCUGCCUCUGCUGGGACAUGUGCUUGUACUAGGAGAGCUGUUAGAACAUCUUUUUCUGUUGGAAUGGAUAUAGGGUUCGGCUGGGAAAGUUGUGUGUGCUAGAAAGGCUGCUGGUGCAGCUGGGUUGUUGUUUAUAUACAGUUGGGCUGCUGCUGUGGUAUCGACAACACAUGCCCUGUAUUCUGUGACUGUGCUGCUUGCAGGUGGCCCCCUCUCCAUGUGUAUGUUUUUUUUUUUUUUGAGAUUUUCCUGGUCUUAGUACAUCUUGUAGUAUCUGAACUCACGCACUACACACUCCUCACGCACACACAACACCACACACACGCCACUCGUGCGCAAGCUAGACCUAACCAAACCUAUACUAAGACAUGAGCCUCCGCGAGCCUAGAUCUUCUGGGAAAUCCCUGCGGUGGUGGGCACACCACAAUACCAGUGUCGAACCGCGGUGGAAAUUGGCUCCGUAGCUUGAACUGGGCUAGACUGAUUUAUGGGCUCAGCCUUCUGCAUAUAUGCAGCCCAUAGGGCCCUCCAGAAAUUUGCUACAGCGCCAACACUGGACACUGUGCAGGUGAGACACUCGGUAAAUUCGCUCCCGGGGAGUCGAACUCACGAGCGGGCAGCCAGCCACUGCUGGGCUUUGCCAACGCGCUACGCGCGCUCCUCUCUCCAUGUGUAUGUUAACAAGUUGGUUUGCUUCUCCUCCUAAUGCAAGCAACGGUUGAGUGAUCUUUAUCGCUUGUUAGAUCAUUCUUUUAUGUGCUGCCAAGUGGUUAAUCUUUAUUGGCUAAUAUUAUGUGAGCUAAAUAAAUCCAGUGUGACUAUUAUGUUAAUUAAGACUUUGCUUAAUUAGCAAGUGGCUUCAAAUAAAUGGAUUAGAAUCAUAUUGACUUCUCCAUGUCAAUAUUGAUUCAAAUAAAUAACUUUGUGGGCUUUUAGAAGAUUCUAGCUAGAUUAGAGGGAAUUAAUAUUGCUGCCUUGUUGCCUAAAGAUCAAUUGGAUCCAGUGCUUCCUCUAGUCCCUUGUGUUGCCUUGAAUUAUAAUUACUCAUUGUUGAUUCAUGAUCAGUGUUGCCUCUCCUGAUCCAAGUGUAUUCUAUUUAUCCCUGUUAUUGCUAAGAAAAAUAUUUCUCCCUCUAAUCACUAUUUGGGGAUCAAGAUUAGUUCUUGACUCCCAUUAGCUAGUUUCCAACAUUAAAAUGCCUCAUCAUGGAUGGUGGCAACAUUUUAAUAUUCACCCAACCAUUUACUUUUUCUUUGUUGUUUGUUUUGCAGGUAGAGAAGAAUCAGAAGUUUGAGAUCAAGCUUUAGUUUAGGAAUUCUUACUAUUAUUCUUUUUGUGUUGUUUUAUUUCUUUUUUUAACUUGUAACUUUAUUGGAUAAUGUUAUUUGUAAUAAAGUUUAAAUUACUUA